UCAAAGGCUUUUCAAAGAAAAAAAGCCUUUUUUUCUUUUAAAUGCCUCUGACGAUCCAUUUGAGUUGCCUGAUCGGCGAGAAAGGUCGUAAAACGGGGUAAAAACUCACUUGUCUUGCUUAGCAACGGAAAUCAUGGCUCAACCGUGGUCGUAAUUGGAGGACUAACUGUACUGACACCAGAAUGACGAAAGCAGCAUUGUGGUAUCCUGUUGCAAGCUCUGCCGUUUCUGGGCUUGAAAUGUUGCAAUGUAUAUCGAACAGGGGGAGGGUCUGGGGUUGCAAUGCAGCAUUGGCUUCUUUCAGCCUAACCCCCUUGUUGUUUCCCCCCACCCCAUUCUCCAGUUCUGCUGUGCCUUCAGGGAAACCCACAAAAGAAAGACUUUGUUGAACAGAAUUCACUGUCUGGCCACUGAUCUCUGCCACCAUGUCAUCCCUGCUCCUUCAGGGGCAACUAAUUCAUCAUAAAUCCUCACUGGAAGCCUGCAUGUGAUGCAAUUUCUUCUAACUUUAUUUUGAUGAGAAAUAGAUGUAUUUUAGAAUCUCUAAACUCCCUAAUCAAUAAACUCAAUUUACUAUCCUAGCCAUACUGAGAACAUUUUGUGUAUUCUGCUGAUUAUAACUUCUAUUUAACAAUAACUUUGUGUGAACAAAUAAAUAUACCAUGGUUGUUUCCAUUUAGACCAAUAUCAAUAAAACUCAAUGCUGAUUUA